UACGUAGGUGGCGAGCGUUGUCCGGAUUUAUUGGGCGUAAAGCGCGCGCAGGCGGUUCGUUAAGUCCGGUGUGAAAGCUCCCGGCUCAACUGGGAGAGGCCACUGGAUACUGGCGGACUGGAGGCAGGCAGAGGAAGGUGGAAUUCCGGGUGUAGUGGUGAAAUGCGUAGAUAUCCGGAGGAACACCAGUGGCGAAGGCGGCCUUCUGGGCCUGUCCUGACGCUGAGGCGCGAAAGCGUGGGGAGCGAAC
rnacentral:rRNA from 1 species